GGCUUCAUAGCUCAGUGGUAGAGCGUUUACAAUGGAAUCGCAAAUUUCAUGGGUUCAGAUGACCCAGUUGGAGCCU